UACGAAGGGGGCUAGCGUUGCUCGGAAUCACUGGGCGUAAAGCGCACGUAGGCGGAUUGCUAAGUCAGGGGUGAAAUCCUGGAGCUCAACUCCAGAACUGCCUUUGAUACUGGCGAUCUCGAGUCCGGGAGAGGUGAGUGGAACUCCGAGUGUAGAGGUGAAAUUCGUAGAUAUUCGGAAGAACACCAGUGGCGAAGGCGGCCACCUGGCUUGGUAUUGACGCUGAGGCGCGAAAGCGUGGGGAGCAAACAGGAGUUAGAUAACCCGAGUGUUCCCG
rnacentral:rRNA from 1 species